UCUAUAUGACAUGGUGGCUUCUGGGCAGCAGCUGGUUACAUGGGCAUGGCUUUUAAUAAUAAGGAACAGACAGUUAAAGACCAGCGAGAACAUCCUUAGCCUUCAUCUCAUCCAGAUAUACAACACAUGGGAUGUGGCAAGUUUUAGGACAAGUUGGAUUUACACAGCCAGAGAUGGGAAGGUGAUAAAAUGAACUUUGGCCCACUUCAAGUAGGUUCAUGUCCAGCAUGGCUUGUUUGUCUUCUAAGCAGAAGAGGAAGUUACAUAUGGAGAAUUCUUAAGAUAUUCAAGAGAGGCUACAGUUGGCAGAAGAAAGGGAUUAGAGUUGUCAAGUGUUUCGAAUUUCAUCACUGGACUGACGGACAUUCAGUUUCUAGGAUUUCAGCAUGUACCAAAUGUCGCAUUCUCUUUUGCUGUGGACUCUUUUUUCCAUGCCUACAGAAACUGCUGGUAUUGUGUGCACGUGCAUUGAACUUACGGUUGCCCUUGCAAGAAACAUCACAAGAACAACUAUUUGAGUUGUGGGCCUUAGCUUUUCUGUCAGCAAACAUAUUUAUAUAUUAUAGAAAUGUCCCACACUGAGUGUGUUGUUAGUGUAGUUUAUCUGUUAGAAUUGGAUUGAGAUUAUUAGCAUGUUUUUAUUCACUGAAAUGAACCUUCAAUAGUUGUGUGUGUGUGUGUAUGUGAGAGAGAGAGAGAGAGUGGUAAAUUAAGAACUUUCAAAUGGAAACGGUGAAGGUUUUGAAAGCCAGCUUGGCAUAUAAUUAUACACACUGUGCAUGAUGUCAGUCUGUAAACACUGACAAGUUGAGAAGGUUUUGUUAGAUAUUUCUUAAAAUAAGCCUGAUUAUAUACCCGGGUACAUAAACAGUAUCUUUUAAGAGUAUAUACUGCAGUACAUUGACAGCAGACAAUCUAAGGGUGUUUUAAGUGUGUGCCAUAUUUGAUCUGCAGCUAAGUUCUGAAAACCAAGAAAAUGGAACCAAGGUUCUUCUCCAUUAUUCCAUGCACCAUUAUUCAGGCAAAAUGCCUGCUUUGAAUUCAAAGAUCCAAGUUU